rnacentral:rRNA from 1 species
UACAGAGGGCUCAAGCGUUGUUCGGAUUCAUUGGGCGUAAAGGGUGCGUAGGCGGCUCGGUAAGUCGGGUGUGAAAUCUCGGGGCUUAACUCCGAAACUGCAUUCGAUACUGCGGUGCUUGAGGACUGGAGAGGAGACUGGAAUUCAUGGUGUAGCAGUGAAAUGCGUAGAGAUCAUGAGGAAGACCAGUGGCGAAGGCGGGUCUCUGGACAGUUCCUGACACUGAGACACGAAGGCCAGGGGAGCAAACGGG